CCUUAUACAUGUUCUCAUUGUAACUUGCCUUUGUCCAAUUUGGACUAUGAAAUUGAAAAACUAAACAAAUCAAAGCACAAACAGUGCAGUAUCAGAUGAUCUCUCAUUCCUAAACCAUUAUUUCUUGUAUAACAACAUGUUAAUUCUUUGGUAGAAUACUUUUGAUCUCUUCAUUUUGGAGGAACUGCUUUCACCGAUCCCUGGACAGCAUAUCAGGAAAGGCACUGUGUGGAAUAUGGGAGCACAAAGUACAAGAAAGACAGAACAGACUCUCGGGGAGGAGAGACUCCGCCUGCAGCGAUUGCUUCACACCGCAUGGGCCACCAUCCCUCUCUGGAUCACCUUUGCUACGGUUAAUCCCGCUUUGACCUCUUCUCCAACAGGACUCACCCCUAAAAUGCUUUGCUAAAGCUGGUAAAAUGGAACCAAAUCAACUGUUCAAUGGAUUUGGUCCCCUUCAACCAGCUGUAGCUGUGCAUUGAUCACUCCGAUCAUCCAACCAUACAGCAAUCCAGUGGGACUGAAGUGAUGCCUCAUUUUCUUCUCUAACAUAAACUCACCGUCAUGUAAUUCUCAGUGCCAAAUACUGUGUGUAUUUAUCUCUGUUAACAAAUUACCAGAAGCAAUUUACUUAAUCAGAAUUAAACAAGCCAACUAAGUAAUUAUAGAUAUAGUGAAUACAUUGUUAUGCUGUGUAAAGCUGCAACUGUAUUGUCCUUUGGAGAAUUGAAUUUUUCUUUGGAGAUUUUUCCAAAAUGUCUGCUGGGAUGAGGUGUAAUUAAAAUGUAAAAAAACGUAAAGCUGUGUGAGUUUAAUAAAGCCUUUUUGUGAACUUUAAAUAAACUUUUUUCAUCAAGUGAU